rnacentral:rRNA from 1 species
AUUGAACGCUGGCGGCAGGCCUAACACAUGCAAGUCGAGCGGCGAGGCGGACGGGUGAGCGAUGCCUAGGAAUCUGCGUGGUAGUGGGGGAUAACGUCCGGUAAUGGGCGCUAAUACCGCUAACUAUCAGAGCAGCCUAGGCCGGAUUAGCUAGUUGGUGGGGUAAAGGCCUACCAAGGCGACGAUGCGUAACUGGUCGGAGAGGAUGAUCAGUCACACGGGAACUGGGACACGGGCCAGACUCCUACGGGAGGCAGCAGGGGGGAAUAUUGGACAAUGGGCGAAAGCCUGAUCCAGCCAUGCCGCGUGUGUGAAGAAGGUCUUCGGAUUGUAAAGCACUUUAAGUUGGGAGGCGUUACUUACAGAAGAAGCACCGGCUAACUUCGUGCCAGCAGCCGCGGUAAUAC